rnacentral:rRNA from 1 species
AUUGAACGCUGGCGGCAUGCCUUACACAUGCAAGUCGAACGGUAGAGGGGGCAACCCCUCGAGAGUGGCGAACGGGUGAGUAAUGCAUCGGAACGUGCCCAGUAGUGGGGGAUAGCCCGGCGAAAGCCGGAUUAAUACCGCAUGAGACCUACGGGUGAAAGGGGGGGAUCGCAAGACCUCUCGCUAUUGGAGCGGCCGAUGUCAGAUUAGGUAGUUGGUGGGGUAAAGGCCUACCAAGCCGACGAUCUGUAGCUGGUCUGAGAGGACGACCAGCCACACUGGGGCUGGGACACGGCCCAGACUCCUACGGGAGGCAGCAGUGGGGAAUUUUGGACAAUGGGCGAAAGCCUGAUUCAGCCAUGCCGCGUGCGGGAAGAAGGCCUUCGGGUUGUAAACCGCUUUUGUCAGGGAAGAAAUCCUUUGAGCUAAUACCUCGGGGGGAUGACGGUACCUGAAGAAUAAGCACCGGCUAACUACGUGCCAGCAGCCGCCGUAAAAC